rnacentral:rRNA from 1 species
GACGAACGCUGGCGGCGUGCUUAACACAUGCAAGUCGAGCGGUAAGGCCCUUUCGGGGGUACGACGAGCGGCGAACGGGUGAGUAACACGUGGGUGACCUGCCCUUAGCUCUGGGAUAAGCCUGGGAAACUGGGUCUAAUACCGGAUAUGACUCCAUGACGCAUGUUGUGGGGUGGAAAGCCUUGUGCGGCUAGGGAUGGGCCCGCGGCCUAUCAGCUUGUUGGUGGGGUGAUGGCCACCAAGGCGACGACGGGUAGCCGGCCUGAGAGGGCGACCGGCCACACUGGGGACUGAGACACGGCCCAGACUCCUACGGGAGGGCAGCAGUAGGGAAUCUUGCGCAAUGGGCGAAA